rnacentral:sRNA from 1 species
UGGUAGUGGAGCUCAUUGAGAAGAAUUUGGAGACCCCCUUGUGCAAAAAUGGUUUUCUUCUGGAUGGCUUCCCUCGGACUGUGAGGCAGGCAGAAAUGCUCGAUGACCUCAUGGAGAAGAGGAAAGAGAAGCUUGAUUCUGUGAUUGAAUUCAGCAUCCCAGACUCUCUGCUGAUCCGAAGAAUCACAGGAAGGCUGAUUCACCCCAAGAGUGGCCGUUCCUACCACGAGGAGUUCAACCCUCCAAAAGAGCCCAUGAAAGAUGACGUAUGUAAACUCAGGACAAAAAAUUUCCUUUUCUUUCCUUCCCCUUUCUUCAGUUUUCUUUUUCCUUUAUUCUUUCCAUCUUCCUUUUAUUUCUACCAAUAUUACUAAUUUAGUCAUGAAAAAUAACACUAUCAAGUAAAUCACAUGGCCUGUG